ensembl:lncRNA
AAGACAGAGGAAAGAUAAUUUCUUUUGUGUCAUUGUGAGCAUUUUUUAUUAACGUGACGGAAACCCUGGACUCAGUUACCGUGCCGCAUUUCGUGUCAAAAUAUAAGAGGAAUUUAAUCAAGGCGGUGGGGGGAAAUGUGAUUAAUUUCACAGCAUGGCUCUUGAUCUCCAUUUAAUGGAAGUAGGAGUGCUAAAGGAAGUCGUGGCGAAUAAUAAACUGUGUCAUUAAAGGCCCGCUUUUAAUGGGGGAAAUAAGGAACAAUCAACUGUGUCAUUAAAGAGAUCCAGUCAUCUAUCAUCCAACUUUCCUUCAUUUAUGUCUCGGUCUCCCAAUUAACAUUAACUCUGCUUAGAUGACCGACCCCUGGUUUGGACGUGCUCUGCCCUUUGUGUGCUUUGGUUAAGAGUCGUUAAUUUGACUCUCCUGAGCGCCUUGCGUCCAGAACAGGGUUUGCCUCAGUUGUAGGCUAGUGUUUCAUGAGGUAGAAAGAAUGCUUUUUUUUCUAUUUUCUUCUCUCUCUCACACACGCACACACACACACACACACACACACACACACACACACACACACACACACACUAUUCCCCUUUCUCUCAUUUGCUCUCUCUUUCUUUUUAUCUCUUCUCACACACACACACACACACUUCUACUCUAUCUCUCUCCCUUUCUCCUUUUUAGGAGUUCUGCAUCCCCGAAGCUCCCUUCCCUCCGGCCAAUGGCUCCCGGGCGUGGCAGGGGAACCCCUUUGUGCGGCUGCCCAACUCCACGCUCCUGGGCUGGGCCGCCAACGGCAGCGCGCCCUCCUGCUGGCCGCCGCUGAGCGCCCUGAGGCUGCUGGAGUCGGCCGAGGGCCAGUCCUGCGUGGACGCGUGCCGCGGGGCGGACCUGGUGUGCGAGCCGGCGUUCUUCCGCUUCGUCAACAACAAGGAGGCCCUCGUCAGGCUGGAGGUGCAGUGCGAGGCUGUGGAGUCCGAGAUGAACCACAUCUUCCCGGCGUUCUCCGUGCAGCGGCGCGAGUGCGGCCUGCAGAAGGAUCCGCUGCUCUUCAGCUGCGCCGGCCUCAGCCCCAAGUACCGCCGCGUCUGCCCCUGCAGGGAUUUCCGCCGGGGACAGGUGGCGCUGUGCCGAGACUGCUUAUGAUGAAGAGGGGACGUGACCCCCCCUCCUCCUCCUCCCACUCCAGCAGCCGCCCUCUCCUUCCCCAGCCAAUGUCCAACGCUUCUGCGUCACAUCGCUUGUUCUGCUGGCUUCCCUCGCCUUUUCCAGAGAGCCGGGAGCUUGUGGCCAGACUUGCCUGCGAUCAUCCCUACACAGAGAAGAGGGGGAAUGGGGAGAAUUUUGGCUGAAUGUGUUGGCCCUCUCUCCCUCUCUUUCACGCUCUCUCUCUCUCUCUCUCUCUCUCUCAUGGCUUCUCUCUGCAGGAUCACAGGCUCUCCCAGAGGGGCCAGCUGUGUGCCCGUGGCGCUGGAAAAAGAAGCCGCGACGCUUCAAGCACUGGCUCCACAAAAGACGUCUCUACCUGGGCGGUAGAACUAAGCUUAAACCUUUGGGCUCGUAUCCUGCCUCCUCUCCAGGUUAUUGUGAGAGGGAGUUUUGUUUGUCUAUUGACAACCAGGUCUAUGGACCAAGCACUUCUAUUACCCACCAGAGAAGGCCCAGACACAGAACGCCCUCACCGGAGCAGCAGAGGAGCCUCACUGCAUAAAGCCUGACCAUUAACCUGGAGCUACACACACACACACACACACACACACACACAGGCAACACUCAUCGAGGAGCAAAAUAAAGGCAAUAUAAAACAGAUAAUACCA